rnacentral:rRNA from 1 species
CCAGACUCCUACGGGAGGCAGCAGUGAGGAAUAUUGGUCAAUGGAGGCAACUCUGAACCAGCCAAGUCGCGUGAAGGAUGAAGGUCUUAUGGAUUGUAAACUUCUUUUGCAAGGGAAUAAAGUGGGGGACGUGUCCUCCUUUGCAUGUACCUUGCGAAUAAGGAUCGGCUAACUCCGUGCCAGCAGCCGCGGUAAUACGGAGGAUCCGAGCGUUAUCCGGAUUUAUUGGGUUUAAAGGGUGCGCAGGCGGGAGAUUAAGUCGGCGGUGAAAUUUUGCAGCUCAACUGUAAAAGUGCCUUCGAAACUGGUUUUCUUGAGUAUGGAUGAAGUAGGCGGAAUUUGUGGUGUAGCGGUGAAAUGCAUAGAUAUCACGAGGAACUCCGAUUGCGCAGGCAGCUUACUAAGCCAUAACUGACGCUCAUGCACGAAGGCGUGGGGAUCAAACAGGAUUAGAUACCCUGGUAGUCCACGCAGUAAACGAUGAUUACUAGUUGUUUGCGAUACAAUGUAAGCGACUGAGCGAAAGCGUUAAGUAAUCCACCUGGGGAGUACGUUCGCAAGAAUGAAACUCAAAGGAAUUGACGGGGGCCCGCACAAGCGGAGGAACAUGUGGUUUAAUUCGAUGAUACGCGAGGAACCUUACCCGGGCUUGAAAUGCGGCGGACCGGCAGAGAGAUCUGCCUUCCCUUCGGGGCAGCCGUGUAGGUGCUGCAUGGUUGUCGUCAGCUCGUGCCGUGAGGUGUCGGCUUAAGUGCCAUAACGAGCGCAACCCUCAUCAUUAGUUACCAUCAGGUGAAGCUGGGGACUCUAAUGAGACUGCCAUCGUAAGAUGCGAGGAAGGUGGGGAUGACGUCAAAUCAGCACGGCCCUUACGUCCGGGGCGACACACGUGUUACAAUGGGUGGUACAAAGGGCAGCUACAUGGCGACAUGAUGCUAAUCUCCAAAACCACUCUCAGUUCGGAUCGGAGUCUGCAACUCGACUCCGUGAAGCUGGAUUCGCUAGUAAUCGCGCAUCAGCCACGGCGCGGUGAAUACGUUCCCGGGCCUUGUACACACCGCCCGUCAAGCCAUGGAAGCCGGGGGUACCUGAAGUCCGUAACCGUCAAGGAGCGGCCUAGGGUAAAACUGGUGACUGGGGCUAAGUCGUAACAAGGUAGCCGUACCGGAAGGUGCGGCUG